CCAUCAUCUAUUUAGUAUAUGUGUCUCUAGAAGUUUCAAGACUUCCAAAGAGAGCUAAGUCAUCUUCCAAGAGAAGAAGAGACCGAUACUAGAGGAAGAAAAGGGAAAAAAUUCCAAGUUUUUCAACUUUGAUCCAAAAAUCUUGUCUUCUUGAAUUCUUGUCAAGUUUGAGGCCCUCUUCAACGUGGUAUAAUAAAUUGAGCGAGAAAAUUUCAUUUGUGGCAAGUCGAAAAUUGAAGAAAAGAUUUUGGAAGAAACGGGAUUUGAAUUUGAGUGAGCGUAAGAAGCGGAUAAGGUAUAAACGUUCUGGAUCCAUCGGCGUAGGCUGCAUACCUUCUUCUACUAUAGAGUGCUCUAUUGACUCGGAGCCGCAUUUUGGUAUAUGCCUUUCUGAUGUACACACUCUUAUGUAUUUGAAUAUUUGGGUAUGGCGGGGCCCUGUCCCGUUAUAUGUUUUCGUUAUGCUUUGGUAGAGGCCUGUAGAUAUAGGUAUGGGUCAUGGGUCGUGUAUGUUCGUUCGCGUAUGAUUUGUAUCUUUAUACGGCCCCUUUUGUUAUAACGGCCAAAACGGCCCAUAUGUUUGUAUAUAUGUACGUAUCCGGUGACGCACCCUUCGU